rnacentral:rRNA from 1 species
UGGGCAACCUGCCCCUCUCUCUGGGAUAACCCCCGGGGAAACCGGAGCUAAUACCGGAUACUCCGGCUGGAUCGCAUGGUCCGGCUGGGAAAGGUUCGCCGGAGAGGGAUGGGCCCGCGGCCUAUCAGCUUGUUGGUGAGGUAACGGCUCACCAAGGCGUCGACGGGUAGCUGGUCUGAGAGGACGACCAGCCACACUGGAACUGAGACACGGCCCAGACUCCGUACGGGAGCA